AUUGAACGCUGGCGGCAUGCCUUACACAUGCAAGUCGAACGGUAACAGGGAGCUUGCUCCGCUGACGAGUGGCGAACGGGUGAGUAAUGUAUCGGAACGUACCUUUUAGUGGGGGAUAACGUAGCGAAAGUUACGCUAAUACCGCAUAUUCUCUGAGGAGGAAAGCAGGGGACCUUCGGGCCUUGCGCUAAUAGAGCGGCUGAUAUCAGAUUAGCUAGUUGGUGAGGUAAGGGCUCACCAAGGCGACGAUCUGUAGCGGGUCUGAGAGGAUGAUCCGCAACACGGGAACUGAGACACGGUCCAGACUCCUACGGGAGGCAGCAGUGGGGAAUUUUGGACAAUGGGGGCAACCCUGAUCCAGCCAUGCCGCGUGAGUGAAGAAGGCCUUCGGGUUGUAAAGCUCUUUCGGCCGGGAAAAAAUCGCAUGGGCUAAUACCCUGUGUGGAUGAUGGUACCGGAAUAAGAAGCACCGGCUAACUACGUGCCAGCAGCCGCCGUAA
rnacentral:rRNA from 1 species